ACGAAGGUGGUCUAAUACCUUAUAGUAUCCAUCUCGUAUGGAUUAAAGCUUUAAUGCGCUUUGGGAGGGGCCUGCGUUUGAUUAGCUAGUUGGUGAGGUAAAAGCUCACCAAGGCGACGAUCAAUAGCUGGUUUGAGAGGAUGACCAGCCACACUGGGACUGAGAUACGGCCCAGACUCCUACGGGAGGCAGCAGUAAGGAAUCUUCCACAAUGGGGCAACCCUGAUGGAGCAAUACCGCGUGCAGGAUGAAGCGUUUCGGCGUGUAAACUGCUUUUAUCACCGAAGAUUUGACUGUAGGUGAAGAAUAAGGACCGGCUAACUACGUG
rnacentral:rRNA from 1 species